UACAGAGGGUGCGAGCGUUGUCCGGAAUCACUGGGCGUAAAGGGCGCGUAGGUGGUCCGCUAAGCGUGUGGUGAAAGCUCGGGGCUCAACCCCGAGUCGGCCAUGCGAACUGGUGGACUUGAGCAUACUAGAGGCAAGUGGAAUUCCGGGUGUAGCGGUGGAAUGCGUAGAGAUCCGGAAGAACACCGGUGGCGAAGGCGGCUUGCUGGGGUAUGGCUGACACUGAGGCGCGACAGCGUGGGGAGCAAACAGG
rnacentral:rRNA from 1 species